ACAACCCACACAAACUCUGCCCCACGGACAGACACACACACAAACUCUGCCUGCGGACGGACACACACAAACUCUGCCGCGGAAACACACACAAACUCUGCCGCGGACGGACACACACAAACUCUGCCGGCGACGGACGACACAAACUCUCCACGCCGCGACGACGACAAAACUCUGCCGCGGACGGACAGACACAAACUCGCCGGCUACGGACAGACCAACUCUGCCGCGGACGGACAGACACAAACUCUGGCCUCGACGACAAACAACAAAACUCUGCGCGGACGGACAGACACAAACUCUGCCGCGGACGGACAGCACAAAACUCUGCCGCGGACGGACAGACACAAACUCUGCCGCGGACGGACACACACAACUCUGCCGCGGACGACACACACAAACUCUGCCGCGGACGGACAGACACACACACAAACUCUGCCGCGGACGGACAGACACAAACACAAACUCUGCCGCGACGGACAGACACAAAUUCUGCCGCGGACACAGACACAACUCUCGCACGACAGACACAAACUCUGCCAACCACUCGGACGGACACACAAAACUCCCCGGCCACGGGUACACACACACACACACACACAUCACACACAAACUCUGCUGUGGAAUUUAAAAACACACAUAAUCACCCGUGGACACACAAACGUGGACACCCAUUCAUACACACACAGCCAUGGACACUGACACACAUUUUACAUUUUAGUCAGAUGCUCUUAUCCAGAGCGACUUACAGGAGCAAUUAGAGUUAAGUGUCUUGCUCAAGGGCACGUCGACAAUUUUCACCUAGUCGGCUCAGGGAUUUGAACCAGCAACCUUUUUGUUACUGGCUAGGCUACCUAUACACUGACCAGUGGACACACACACACACACACACACACAGCUAAGCCCAACUCGGCUCAAGGACAGAACGCCCACCUUGUUAAGGGGAGGCCGAGGGGAGGUGCAGGUGAGAUUGGAUCCAGACAUGCUUGCUCACAGACAGAAUUGAAUUAUUGAUCAGCCGACAGAUUGCGUUAUGAGGAAUUCAUGGAUCCAUGGCUUGGCUGCCUCCUUCCCUUAGGCUGGAUGGAGAGAGGGAGUGUAUGUGUGUGUGCUUGUAUUUAUUGAGUGUGUCUGUUUACCUGUGCGUGUGUGUGUGUGUGCUUGUGUUUAUCAGUGAAGACAGGGGAAGACGAUGGGAUGUGGUCAAACUUGGGCUUACUUUCUAGAGGAAGUGGGAGUGUGAGCUUGCACAUAGACAAGACAGAGCAAACACAGCGCAAACACAGCAUCGAUCUGCCUGGCUGGGUGAUGAGAAUACAGGAGGUGAUAGUUAGUUCACCCACACUGGGCCAGGCUGGGCUCUCCUCUCCCUGAGUUAACUGCCUGUCCAGAGUGGCGUUUCACUGGCACUCCUCAUUCAACACCCCCCUCUGCUCUUAAUACCACAGCUGAAAAAGAGGAAACAGGAUUUUUAUUUGUCUGCCCUCCAUGGGGGGUCUGGUGAUUAUGCCCAACAAAUAAAGCUCAUGUCCUGUUAGCAAUGUUAGCAUUGGAUUUGUUGCUCAGCUCUAUAAUCGUGGAUUGAUUGAUUUGAGACAUAGACAAGGUCAGCAGGUCAGUUUGAGGAGGGAAUAGGCUACAAGAGUCCACUUUCACCCAGAACCCUUUAAAACACCCGUCACACUGCAUCAUGAGGGCACUUGUAAAUAUUACACUUCCUGACUAAAGGAAAGGCCAAGGCCAGACUGACAGGAAGUGUUUCAGGCCACAUCACUUUUUCCCUCCAAUCACACCAUAGCCCUUUUAAGUACUAGUCACUUACACAGUAACCAAAUCGGUACACCUCACUGUAUUGUAAUGCCAGGUCACAAUGGCCCAAACUCAAAGGGAUAUGGGACGUGGGUUUACAUAGAGCCCAGCGUUUAUCCCUUCUGAUCACACGUUUCGCAUAGGCCAAAAAGCACACAGUCAUCAUAUUGAUGAUAAUUAGAAGGCUUCAGAUUUGUUUGCUUUACAUUUCAGACAUGACAUAUGGCACAAAUGCACUGGCUAAACAUACUUCACUGUUGAGUGAAAACGUUUUGCGUUAUGGUUUGAAUAAAAAGAAAAAAGUGAAGGGACAGACAUCGAAAUAAGAAGAUCAGCGCAAUGGAGUGAGACAGUGUUUCUCUCAUUACGGCCCCUAAACAGUAAACUCAUUCCAUAUGUGUAACUAACCAAUCAACUCAGAGGAAUGUGUGAUGACGUCCAGACAGCUCUCAGACAGGGAAGUGAAACUGAACACCCCAGAAAACCACUGGCUAAUAAAAGUCACAGAAGGGAUGGCCCAACAAAAGAGUGGUAGAGAGAGAAAGGACCUGUCAGUGAAAGUCAGUGUCCCCAUAGCACCUAGACAGGUAAACAGCAACAAGCCCAUAGAAAUUCUAGGACAGAGAAAGUAAUUCAGUCCCAUCUAUAGAACCUUCAAAGUGGUAUAUAAGAAACGUCCUCUCACUGUCAACUGUGUUUAUUUUCAGCAAACUUAACAUGUGUAAAUAUUUGUAUAACAAGAUUCAACAACUGAGACAUAAACUGAAUAGGUUCCACAGACAUGUGACUAACAGAAAUGGAAUAAUGUGUCCCUGAACAAAGGGAGGGUCAAAAUCAAAAGUAACAGUCAGAAUCUUGUGGCCACCAGCUGCAUUAAGUACUGCAGUGCAUCUCCUCCUCAUGGACUGCACCAGAUUUGCUGUGAGAUGUUACCCCACUCUUCCACCAAGGCACCUGCAAGUUCCCAGACAUUUCUGGGGGGAAUGGCCCUAGCCCUCAACCUCCAAACCAACAGGUCCCAGACGUGCUCAAUGGGAUUGAGAUCCGGGCUCUUUGCUGGCCAUGGCAGAACACUGACAUUCCUGUCUUGCAGGAAAUCACGCACAGAAUGAGCAGUAUGGCUGGUGGCAUUGUCAUAUUGAAGGGUCAUGUCAGGAUGAGCCUGCAGGAAGGGUACCACAUGAGGGAGGAGGAUGUCUUCCCUGUAACGCACAGCAUUGAGAUUGCCUGCAAUGACAACAAGCUCAGUCCGAUGAUGCUGUGACACACCGCCCCAGACCAUGAUGGACACUCCACCUCCAAAUCGAUCCCACUCCAGAGUACAGGCCUCGGUGUAACGCUCAUUCCUUCGACGAUAAACGUGAAUCCGACCAUCACCCCUGGUGAGAUAAAACCGCGACUUGUCAGCGAAGAGCACUUUUUGCCAGUCCUGUCUGGUCCAGCGACGGUGGGUUUGUGCCCAUUAGCGACGUUGUUGCCGGUGUUGUCUGGUGAGGACCUGCUUUACAACAGGCCUACAAGUCCUCAGUCCAGUCUCUCUCAGCCUAUUGCGGGCAGUCUGAGCACUGAUGGAGGGAUUGUACGUUCCUGGUGUAACUCGGGCAAUUGUUGUUGCCAUCCUGUACCUGUCCUGCAGGUAUGAUGUUCGGAUGUACCGAUCCUGUGCAGGUGUUGUUACACGUGGUCUGCCACUGCGAGGACUAUCAGCUGUCCGUCCUGUCUCCCUGUAGCACUGUCUUAGGUGUCUCACAGUACGGACAUUGAAAUGUAUUUCCCUGGCCACAUCUGCAGUCCUCAUGCCUCCUUGCAGCAUGCGUAAGGCACGUUCACGCAGAUGAUCAGGGACCCUGGGCAUCUUUCAUUUGCUGUUUUUCACAGUCAGUAGAAAAGGCCUCUUUAGUGUCCUACAUUUUCAUAAAUGUGACUUUAGUUGCCUACCGUCUGUAAGCUAUUAGUGUCUUAACGACCGUUCCACAGGUGCAUGUUCAUGAAUUGUUUAUGGUUCAUUGAACAAGCAUGGGAAACAGGUGUUUAAACCCUUUAUAAAGAAGAUCUGUGAAGUUAUUUGGAUUUUUACAAAUUAUCUUUGAAAGACAGGGACGUUUCUUUUUUUGCUGAGUUUAGAUACUUCCUCUGUUCAGGUCAGUAGCAAUUAAUUCCACCAAUCACAACAGUUGCCAGACAUGUCCUUCACAGCCCACUUUGCUUCAAUCUGUUAUUGGAACAGCACUUACUUUCUCCCUUAGCCAAUUGAAAAAGGGGCGGAGAAAAAAUUAAUUGGAGAGGUUUGUGAUUUGGGGAUCCAACUUGGCAAUGUGUUUGUGAAAACAUUGUAACUGCUGGGACAUACGCUGUUUGUUUUCAGAGAGAGGUAGCAGCAGAAACAACAGAAGCGGGCAGGUGGGGGGAAAGGAAAGACGAGUUCUCAGUAAUAAGGUUCUCUAACCUCAGCAUCAGCCCUCCUCUCUAAUGAGUGUAAUUAAAGGUCUGAGCUGAAAGAUCAAUGACGUGGGAGCAGAUGAGACGAGACGUAGCAGAGACGUAGCUACUGCUUGGAGAAGGCCAACCGCACGGCAAGGACUACAAAGACAACUAGUACUGCGUGUGUGUGACUGUGUGCAAGUAUAUGCUGUGUGUCUGUGUAAAUAUUUAGGCCUAGACAGUGUUGCCCGGUAUACCAAAACGUCUGUACUUGUUCGAUACCAGAACGUGAAAAACAGUUCGGUACCAGAAUGUUUGUUACUUUCGGUACUUCUGUCAAAUGUGUCAGUGCAGUGCAGCCAAUGUCCCCUUUAUAGCACAAGGUGCCUGCUCCACUUUGGCAGUUACUCAUUGCUAGCCUGCACUGGGAGUCUGGGCUGCAUCAUGUUAGCUCCCCACUCA
ensembl:lncRNA